AAGAUCACGGUUAAAUUAUGAAAGCAUUGAUUCUCAGCACUGUUUGCUUUCUUUUUGCAUUUGGUAAAAGUUCGUCCGCGUUGAUACCAGAUGUUCGGCCCACUUCUUGUGCAGCCGUGUCAUGUCUAGUUGGUUUUAAAUGCGUUGAAGAAGAUAAAGGGGCUUUGUGUAAGAAAAUAUGUAACACAAGCAAGGAUCCAUCUGUAGUUCUGGAGUUUGUGUUUGUCCACGAAUUUGUCCACUCUACUUCAUGCCAGUUUGUGGCGACGAUGGCCGAGAGUAUGGGAAUAUUUGUCUAUUGAAUAUAGCGGCUUGUGAAAGUAAGAAAACAAUCAAAACUGGUACAUGCAAAAAAGAUCCAUGUGCGUCAGUGACGUGCAAGAAAGGUUUUCAAUGUAUCGCUAGAGAAGAACAGACAUAUUGUCGACCAGUACUUUGCUCGCUUCCUCCUUCUACCGGAAAAUGCAAAGGAUAUUUCAAAAGAUAUUUCUAAAAUUCAGUUUCUAAUAAAUGCGAGAAGUUCAUUUAUGGUGGCUGUGGUGGAAACAGAAAUAACUUUCGCUCUAGAUAUGUGUGUAAAAUUUGGUGUGAAGCUAAUUGAUAAAACAUCGCUUGUUUUUACGUAACAGAAUCAUGCCCAGUGGAUAAGCCUUUUCAUUAUUGCUUUCGUCGACCGUGUGAAGAUAUGAACUAUAGACUGAAGUCCUUUAAAUAGUUGUGUAGAAUAGCACUAUUCAAUACAUAAAUUUCACGAAUCAA